rnacentral:rRNA from 1 species
UACGGAGGGGGCUAGCGUUGUUCGGAAUUACUGGGCGUAAAGCGCGCGUAGGCGGACCUGCAAGUCCGGGGGUGAAAGGCCCGAGGCUCAACCUCGGAACUGCCUUCGAUACUGCGGGUCUACGAGUCCGGGAGAGGUGAAGUGGAAUUCCUAGUGUAGAGGUGAAAUUCGUAGAUAUUCGACAAGAACACCAGUGGCGA